CAGACCUCUAAUCGGAAAAGACUACCCGCUGAGUUUAA
rnacentral:rRNA from 203 species